rnacentral:lncRNA from 1 species
UUUUUUUAAUCUUUGAUCUUUGAUCCUGUGAGACCAUACACAAUGUUAAUCUUCUCAACGGGAACUACACUAGUUGAUUAAUUGUACAGACAAAGAUGUAUUCCAAGUUCAAAUCAACUGAUGAAAAAUAGAAAACAGUGUAUAGGAAGAUAUCCAGUUAUAUAUACACAAACGUCUGCGGGAACACAUUUCAAAUAAAUGAAAUAAAACAUAGAAUUAACCAACCAUUUAUACCGGUUUUUCGCCCCCUUGUCACGUGACCAAGCAG